rnacentral:rRNA from 1 species
AGAGUUUGAUCCUGGCUCAGAGCGAACGCUGGCGGCAGGCCUAACACAUGCAAGUCGAGCGCCCAGCAAUGGGAGCGGCAGACGGGAUAGUAACACGUGGGAACGUACCUUUCAGUUCGGAACAACCAAGGGAAACUUUGGCUAAUACCGGAUACGCCCGUAAGGGGAAAGAUUUAUCGCUGAAAGAUCGGCCCGCGUCUGAUUAGCUAGUUGGUGGGGUAAUGGCCCACCAAGGCGACGAUCAGUAGCUGGUCUGAGAGGAUGAUCAGCAUCACUGGGACUGAGACACGGCCCAGACUCCUACGGGAGGCAGCAGUGGGGAAUAUUGGACAAUGGGCGCAAGCCUGAUCCAGCCAUGCCGCGUGGAUGAUGAAGGCCUUAGGGUUGUAAAGUCCUUUUAACGGGGAAGAUAAUGACGGUACCCGUAGAAUAAGCCCCGGCUAACUUCGUGCCAGCAGCCGCGGUAAUACGAAGGGGGCUAGCGUUGCUCGGAAUCACUGGGCGUAAAGCGCACGUAGGCGGCUUUCUAAGUCAGAGGUGAAAUCCUGGAGCUCAACUCCAGAACUGCCUUUGAUACUGGAAAGCUUGAGUUCGGGAGAGGUGAGUGGAACUGCGAGUGUAGAGGUGAAAUUCGUAGAUAUUCG